GAUCUCGCGGUUUGUUCCGUUUCAUUGGAGCUUCCCGGACCGUGUGCUCGACGGUGCCCUAGGUGCCGUGGGGCCACACGCGAGUCUGAUAAGCACCCUCCCCCGGAAUCAUGCGGUGCUGUGAGGCCUAGCGAAGAUGAAGAUAGAAUGCAAGGUAGAAAGUGCUGGAUACCUUUAGAAAGCUGCAGGACUGGUGCGAUGGGAGUUGAGACGUAAGAACCUGCCCGUCCGUAGGGCUCUGGAUGCUGCUGAGGCCCGAGGCCCCUAUGGCAGAUUUGAAAAUUCACCCUUGUAGAGUCAUUCCUGCCUUUGAGCGGACUCCCUUUUAAGAUCUCAAGAGAGCGUUCGGUGGAGGCCCUGGGUCUGCACAGCUCACCUCCCUGGGAACUGCUCGCCCGAGCGUCGGAGCCGGCGCUGGCCCCCUGCAGCCGGAAGGUUGCAGCCGCAGGAGCCCCGGAGGCCCAGGACACAGGACAGAGUCUCGUUCUGUCGCCCAGGCUGGAGUGCAGUGGUGUGAUCUCGGCUCACUUCAACCUCCGCCUACAGGGUUCAAGGGAUUCUCCUGCCUCAGCCUCCUGAGUAUCUGGGCUCUUGCUCUUGCAGAAUCCACAGGUCUUUCUUGAGGAAAUCUGUAGACAGAACUUUGUGCUGCGUUUUUAUCUAGGGAAGGAACAGAAGAGUGUCGUCUCCUAGAAAUCUAGCACUGGAGAAACGAGGAAAAUUCUUCCAGCGAUGGUCU
rnacentral:lncRNA from 1 species